rnacentral:rRNA from 1 species
AUGGCAGCCCCAAACAAUACUAGCACUCCAAAGAAGAUGGUUGUCAUCUACGCUCCGCCGGGGAUGCCGGGCCACCUGUUCCCAGCCGUGGAGCUGGGCAAGCUGCUCGUGGCGCAGGGCCUCGAGGUCACCGUCGUCCUCGGCGGGGAGGAUAGCCACGGCGCCGGUGGUUCGUUCUUCGCCGCCAUCGAGGCUGCCAGCCCGUCCUUGUCCUUCCACUGUCUCCCCCGUGCCACGCUCCCCUCCGACGUGCCCGCCGGGAGUUUGGAGGCGCAGCUUUUCGGGCUCGCGCGCGCCUCCAACCCGGACCUCCGUGACUUCCUCCGGUCCGCCUCCCCGGCCCCGGUAGCACUCGUCAUCGAUUCCUUCUGCAGCAGCGCGCUCGACGUCGGCUUCGAGCUCGGCAUCCCGACCUACUUCUUUCACACCACUUGCAUCGCCAGCGUCGCCUUCUGUCUCUACCAGCAAGUCAUCCAUGAGCAGACCGAUCUGAGCUUCCAAGACCUCGGUGGUGACCUUUUGCACGUCCCGGGAUUACCACCGAUACCAGCAGAUCACCUGCCCGCGUUUAUCCUAGAUCGCGACAGCUUGAGCACUAAGUUCUUCCUGGGCGCAUCCGAACGCUUGUGCAACUCGCAGGGCCUUAUUGUCAACAGCUGCCGCUCCUUGGAGCCGCGGGCCACCGAUGCCAUCAUCUCCGGCCUCUGCACGCUCCCCGGGCGACGAACACCGCCGCUGCACUGCAUAGGGCCGCUGAUAAAGCCCGACGAGGCUGGGACGCUGCGCCACGAGUGUCUCGCGUGGCUCGAUGGCCAGCCGAAGGCAACUGUGGUAUUUCUCAGUUUCGGCAGCUUGGGCCGGUUCAGCGCUGAGCAGAUCAAGCAGAUUGCGGCGGGGCUGGAGACGAGUGGGCAACGGUUCUUGUGGGUUGUCCGGCGCCCGACCGGCGACGAGCACCAGCCGGCCGACGACCUCGACGCACUUUUUCCGGAAGGCUUUCUGCACCAUACCAAGGAGAGGGGACUGGUCGUCAUGUCGUGGGUGCCGCAGCAGGCAGUGCUGGCGCACGGCGCGGUGGGCGGGUUCGUGACACACUGCGGAUGGAACUCGGUGCUGGAGGCGGUCAUGGCGGGGGUGCCGAUGCUGGCGUGGCCUCUGUACGCCGAGCAGCACACAAACAAGGUGUUCUUAGUCGAGGAGAUGCGGCUGGCCGUGGCCAUUGGAGGGUAUGACAAAGAAAUGGUGGAAGCCCAGGAGGUGGCGGCGAAGGUGAGGUGGCUGAUUGAGUCCGAUGGUGGGCGGGAGCUCCGGCAGCGGACGCUCGCGGCCAUGCGGCAAGCGAAGGAGGCGCUGGACGACGGUGGUGAGUCAAGAACAGCGUUGCUGAACCUUGCGAGAGAGUGGAAAAACGCCGGCGACAUUGGAAAUUAUGCAAUCAUCAACUGA